rnacentral:rRNA from 1 species
CCUACGGGCGGCAGCAGUGGGGACUAUUGCGCAAUGGGCGACAGCCUGCCGCAGCGACGCCGCGUGAGGGAUGAAGGUCUUCGGAUCGUAACCCUCUGUCCGCAGGGAGGCACGCUCUCUGUGCUAAUCAUCAGUGAAUUGACGUUACCUGCAACGGAAGCACCGGCUAACUCCGUGCCAGCAGCCGCGGUACUACGGAGGGUGCGAGCGUUAAUCGGAAUUUCUGGGCGUAAAGCGCUCGUAGGCGGUAUGUCAAGUCAAGGGUGAAAUCCCCGGGCUCAACGUGGGAACUGCCUUUGAAACUGGCAGACUGGAGUGGGUUAGAGGAGAGUGGAAUUCCAGGUGUAGGAGUGAAAUCCGUAGAUAUCUGGAGGAACAGCAGUGGCGAAGGCGACUAUCUGGCACAUAACUGACGCUGAGGAGCGAAAGCGUGGGUAGCAAACAGGAUUAGAUACCCGAGUAGUC